AGGCCGAGGCGCCCGCCCUCCCCGCCGGGGCUCACCUGGGUCAGCCCUGAGCCCUCGAGCAGGGCGGAUCGGCCGCUGCCUGCUUAAAGCUGGGGCCGCCAGGAGUGCGAUCGCCUGCGGAUCUGCAGCUGGGCACCGGCCGCAACGCCCGCCCCGCGACGGCAGGGAUUCCCACCCAGUGCCACGUGAGAACACAGGCGUGCAUCGCAGACAAGCCACACAGGCCUCGCAGGCUCAGCAUACAUGUCUGCAGCAACACCAUCAGGUACAGAGCCGAGGCCCAGGUAGGCAUGCUCAGCUGCACGCAGGAAGCAAGACACACCCAGACACACACAGGGAAUAAAGGCUCAGGGACCGGCAGUUCUACUCUAGAGCCCACCAGCCUCUCAGAGCCUCCGGUGACUGGCCUGUGUCUCCCCCUGGAUGGACAUGUGGACGGCGCUGCUCAUCCUGCAAGCCUUGUUGCUACCCUCCCUGGCUGAUGGUGCCACCCCUGCCCUGCGCUUUGUAGCCGUGGGUGACUGGGGAGGGGUCCCCAAUGCCCCAUUCCACACGGCCCGGGAAAUGGCCAAUGCCAAGGA
rnacentral:lncRNA from 1 species